CGCAGACGUGGCUCAGAUCCUGUGUGGCUGUGGCUCUGGCCUAGGCAGCAGCUGUAGCUGUGAUUGGACCCCUAGCCUGGGAACCUCCUAUAUGCUUGGGUGCGGCCCUAAAAAAAAAAAAAAAGCAUACUGUAUUUUCACUUUUAAUCGUUUUCUUCUAAAUAAAUAAUUAUAAAUCAGAAAUACAAUAAUUAAGUCAAUAAGUUCAAAAGCUUUUAACCUAGACCUGCAGAAUUUUUUAGGUAACCGAAAUGCCGUGGACGAGGUAGCAGUUCUCUUCAGUUGGAGGAGUGGAACUACAGAGAAGCUGCAUCGCUUCCAGGAUUUGGUUUUCUCAUUCCUCUGGGUGGGAUUUCUCCUGGCGGACUCCUGGCCCUGAGUUCUUCCAGCUUUUGUCUGCCUCCCCUUUGUGUGUUUCUCUAGCUUUUGUUUUUGAAAGGUGUUUUGCAGGCUGCCCUGUAUUCCUUGAGCACUGCAGUCGAGUCCUUCCGUGAAUUCUCACUGGCCCUGUUUCCAUCGAGAAUCUGCUGUCGUCCUGGUCCUGAAGCCUUUGUCUGGAAAGCGGCUUUUUUCUCUGAAGGCUUUUGACAGUCGAGGUUAUUUGGUGUAUGGUGUAGCGUGGGAAGUAGUUUUUACUCAUGUUUCUUGUGCUUGGGUUUGUUGAGCUUUAUGUAUGGAUCUGUGGAUUUAGUUCAUCAGAGUUGGAAUUUUUUCCAAUACUUUUCUGUCCCUCCCUUUUUCAUUUGUAAAUUGCAUUUAAAUUUAUAUGGGAUUGUUUAGAGUAUCAGCCAGCACAGUGGUACCCUGUUCAUUUUUUUCUUUUUCUUCUUUUUUGUUUUUAUGGCUGUGUCUGUGGUGUAUGGACGUUUCCAGGCCAGGGAUUGAAUCUGAGCUGCAGCUGUGGCAAUGCUGGAUCCUCUAACCUGCUGUGCUGGGCUUGCGAUCGAAGCUGCACCUAUGCAGGGACCUAAGCUGCUGCAGUGGGCUUCUUAACUGACAGUGGCAACUCCAGCUGUUCCUUUUUUCUUCCUGUUUUCUCUGCUUCUUAUCUUGGGCGCUUUCCGUUGCCGGGACUCUCUCCGCUCGCUCACCACUCUUUUCUUUGGUGGUGUCUGCCACACCCGACGGUUUUUGUCUCAGACGGUUUUUCUUUUUUGCCUUUUGUCUUCUUUAGGGCCGCACCCCCUGGGAACCUCCAUAUGCCACAGGUGCAGAUCUAAAAAGACAGAAAAGAAAAAGAAAAAAAGGCAGAGAACUCUUUUCUGUUGGCAUCAGUGCCUUCCCUAGGUCACCUUGCAGCAGCAGUGUCACGGAGAGCAGGUCACCUGUGCUGGUGGGCUCUUGUUCCAAGGGGGUGUCUCUGAGGCUUUGCCGGGGUGGGGGUGGGGUCUUUGUGUGGGAGUGGCUUGUUACCCCGGGGGAGGCCUGACCUCCAGCUUGACCUGAGUUGAAGCGCAGUGUGUCUCGGGGUGGUCCCCGACACACCUGAGAUUGUUUUAGUGCCUUCCCGCAGUGCCUCUUCAAGGAAACUUGGCUGUUGCAUUACCCCUUGUGCUGGCAGUAAGGACAUUUCUGUCACCCGCAGAAGGUCCCUAGCAUACAACCGCCUAUUCAUUUUACCCUCCCAUUUUUGGCCAUACCUGUGGCACAUGGAUGUUCCUGCGCCUGGGAUCGAACUGGAGCUGCAGCUGAGGGCUGUGCCACAGCCAUGGCACUGCUGGAUCCUUAACCCACUGAGCGAGGCCAGCAGUUGAACCCAUAUCUUCACAGAGAAAAUGUCGGUCCCUAACCCCCUGAACCACAGUGGGAACUCCAGGAACUCCCAAGUUUUUUAAAAAUGUAUGUUGUCCAAGUAUAGCUGAUUUGCAGUGCUGUGUCGAUAAGAGUUUUGUCAUAGGUUGGUUUGGGAUACAUGCACUCUCUUUGUGGUUCACAUUAUUCCUCUGGUGAGAUAUUUUUAAAACUCGGGGUUUGGCUGUUUUACAGUGAGCAGUUCUCCGGCUUUAACCUGUUUAUAGUGUCGUGUAGCCCUCCCCUCUUCCUGGGCUCGGCUGCCCCCUGGCAUGUGGAGUUCCCGGACCAGGGGUCAGAUCAGGGAGGCAGUUGCGACCUGUGCCGCAGCCACAGCAGUGGCAGACCCUUCACCCCUGUGCGGGCUGGGGAUCUCCGCUGAGCCCCAGUGCUCCGGCGAGGCCCCUGAUCCCCUUGGGCCCCAGCGGGACCCCCAGGUUCUAGAUGCUUCGUGCCCUGAGAGGAACCCUGUCCCGUCAGACAGCGUCUCCGUGUGCCCUGCAGCCCUUCCGCCGCGCGCGCCUGCUGCGGACACGUCACAUCGAGGGGCCCCUUCCGCAGGACGUUUUCCAGGCUCGUCCUGAGGCUCUUUUUCGGGUGUGAGGAGGAUUUGUCUGUCGCAUGUACACGUCUUGUUGCCCUUCGUCUGUGAUGGCCGUGGCUGCUCCCUGCUGCUGGCUGUCGUCAGCAGUGCUGCUGCGUGCCCGGCCUGUUUGGCACCGUGCAGGUGUGUGCCUCGGGGUGGGAUGCUGGCUCAUGUGACAUCUCUGCCGUUAACUUUUGGAGGAACUGCCAAACUCUGCCAUAGCUGUUGCUCCACUUUGUGUCCCUGCCCUGUGGCCAGGAGCACAGCCACGGUCCGAGUGGAUCGCGGGCGCGCUGCCGUCCUCUGCCACCACCUGCCCGAGGGUGUGGGCUCUGGUCCUCGGGGGCUGCGGUGGCGAGCAGUCAGCCCUGCCGCCCCGCCCGUGCUCCCUUGGCGCCUGCAGCCGGGUGCUCUCGGGCACGGUCCGGCAUUCAAAGGUUGGUUCCGACGGCUCUCGCCAGCUUGUCUGUUGCUUUCUGUGGAGGGACGGGCUUGUGGAGUUCCCGUUCUGCCGCCUUGGGGCCGUCAUCGCCCGGCCGGGUGCUCUGACGUGUGUCUGGGCGGCCACGUCGGGGCCUGUCCUCGCUGAGCAGGCCCGGCUGCGGGCUCCCGGCGCCGGUCGCUGCUGUGGCGGCGGCCUCGCCGAGCGCCUUUCUGGAGAGGCUGGGUUUCGGAGGCGCAGAGCUUCUGGGCCAGGGGGGCUCUGGGAGCGGCCCCCCCCCACCUGCUGGCAGGUCUGGGCCCCCAGGGCCGGGUUUUCGCUUUGGGGGACGGAGAGUGCUCUGCCUCCAGGCCCCGGGACAGCACCUCCUCUCGGGGUCCCUCCGUGGCCCCCUCUGCACUCUUGACCUCCUGUCGUCGUGGCAGCGCCUGAGGCGCAGGUGGGCUCGUCCGUCCCUCUGCUGCAGAGGGACCGUGCGGAGGCCCCGAGGUGGGCCAGCGCCCAGGGCCCCACAGGUCACGAGGGGCAGGCCGGGUGGUGUUGGGCGGGGCGCAGCCUGGCUCAGAGCCUCCCUUGUGGGGGUCCCCUCCCCCCCGCCCCGCUCUGCUGUCGCCAGCUGCCUGUGCUCUGAGAGCCACCCCUCUCCGCCCCUCUUCUUGGACAGUAAGGACGUGUGGUCCGCUCCUCUCCAGCACCGAUACCCUGCACCCUGAGUGUCUUCCUGCUCCACUGGGCUGUGGUGGCAGAGUCCCUUUGUGCUGCCAGGAUCUGGUGGUGUCGCCACAUGGCCUGGGUUCACCCCCUGGUCUGGGAACUUGCACAUGUCGCAGGUGUGGCCAAAAACAAACAGAAAGCUUCCUUCAUGACAGGUAAAAUGGCCGUGUCCAUCUCUGUGGUUACUCAGAGCCGGGGUUUUUGUUCACAGCAGGUCUGGAGUGUGGACGCCCAGGCCAAGCAUCCAUACUUCCUUGUGUGGAUGGAGGCUGGAGGACCUGGGGCCAUGGGUGGCCCGUGCCCCCGCCGCCCAGGGUCGGGUCUGCCUGUAUGUGCCCGCCCUGCAGCCCCGGGGAGCCCCGGGCUGUCUCAGAUGAAGGGGUUAAUUACGGGGUCAAGGCUUGGGACCCCUGUCUGAGAGGCGUGUGGAGGGCACGACUGUAAGUUGUGCCCUGAGCUUUAGUCCUGGAUGAUAAGAGCACAGCCACAGGUGCUAACGCAGACGUUUUCUGAAGUUAUCGAGGCGUAACUUGCGUGGCGUAAACUGGCUCAUUUGAAGGGUUUGUUUUAGUGGUUUUUGCUAAGUAGACUCAGAUCCCUCAUUCCUGUCCCUCCCUCCCCCAGCCCCAGGCAGUGGCUGGUCCGCUUUCUGGCUCUCUAGAUUUGCCUUUACAGAUGCUUCACUUUGAAAAUAAAAGCCCUUGAACUCCUUCCUUAAAAGCAGCAGUCGUCGCUCACUUGUCUGUGCAGACGCACCUUACCUUUGCUUGAGCGUCCCCUUGGGUCUGGCACAGAGGGCCCGAGGGUCGGCAUUUUGGGCCUGGGGCCACAGGUGUCUGUCAGAAGGGCCCACCUUAGUCAUGAACCGUGACAGUAGCCCUGGGUAGUGGGUAGGAGAAGGGGGCAGCCUGUUGCAGGACUCUCGACAGAACCAGUGUGGCCCGGUGUCCUUGGAUGGCUGUGGGCCAGAGGGAGCUGCUGCAGAAGCCGGGCUGAGACCUUCCUUGAGUCAUUUCGAUGGCUGGUGUGGCACAUGCUUAGUUUCUGGGGGAGAUAAUCAGAUACAUAAAAUGUGAAGCUAUCUGGAAAGAUAAAGCUGGGAUUUAGGCUGUCCUGACAGUCCCGAGAAAUGAGGAAUUUAGGAGUGCGUGCAUAGUAGUUUAAGAGAUUUUGGGUGUGCUGAUUGCAAGAAAGAUUAGAGUUUUGUAGGAUCAUGAGCAAGCACUCAUCAGCAGAAAUAGGAAAAGGAAUGGUUUUGAGACUUAAAAGUUCUUAAUUUAAAUGUUGAUCAGUUAAUUGACUUGGAAGAACAGCCCCCUCUGGACCAUUCGGUGUGGGUUUGGUCCUGCUGGCCCCUCUGCCCUGUCAGGGGCAGUUGUUGCUGUGGAGGUUGUCCUGGGCGGCUGUGCUCUGUGUCUUACUCUUGCAUCCUGUCUGGGAGUUUUCUGUUUUUAUUUACUUUUUUUGCAAAAUGGAAAAAUUCCCUUCAGAUCCCCCCCCCCCUUUUGCUGCUGCACCUGUGGCAUAUGGAAAUUUCGGGGCUAGAGGUCAAAUCAGAGCUACAGCUGAGACCUACACUACAGCCAUAGCAACCCCAGAUCCAAGGCACAUCUGAGACCCAUGCUGCAGCUUGCAGCAAUGCUGGUCCCGAACCUGCUCAGCCACAGUGGGCUUCCAUCGCGUCUCCAGUGUGUAAAAGUGCCAUGUGGGUUUUUUUGGGCUGUGCCCAUGGCAUGUGGAAGUUCCCAGGCCAGGCAUGAAACUCCUGUGACAGCAGUGAUAGUGCGGGAUCCUUAACCUGCUCAGCCACCAGGGAGCUUCUGAAGUGUUGUGUUCUGGAGGCCCCCGGGGUGCAGCGGAGUGAACCCGACUAACAUCCAUGAAGGCAUGGCUUCCAUCCCUGGCCUCGCUCAGUGGGUUGGGCAUCCGGCAUUGCCAGGAGCGGUGGUGUAGGUUGCAGACCUGGCUCAGCUCUGGCGUUGCUGUGACUCUGGCGUAGGCCGGCAGCUGCAGUUUCAGUUGGGCCCCUACUCUGGGAACCUCCAUAUGCUGCAGGUGUGGCCCUGAAAAUCAAAAAAAUAAAAAAAA
rnacentral:lncRNA from 1 species